rnacentral:rRNA from 1 species
UACGUAGGUGGCAAGCGUUAUCCGGAAUUACUGGGCGUAAAGCGCACGUAGGUGGCUGUGUAAGUCGGGUGUGAAAUCCCCGGGCUCAACCUGGGAACUGCAUUCGAGACUGCAUAGCUGGAGUACGGAAGAGGAGGGCGGAAUUCCCGGUGUAGCGGUGAAAUGCGUAGAUAUCGGGAGGAACAUCAGUGGCGAAGGCGGCCCUCUGGUCCAGUACUGACACUCAAGUGCGAAAGCGUGGGGAGCAAACAGG